rnacentral:rRNA from 1 species
UGGGGAAUCUUCCGCAAUGGGCGAAAGCCUGACGGAGCAACGCCGCGUGAACGAUGAAGGUCUUAGGAUCGUAAAGUUCUGUUGUUAGGGACGAAGGAUAAGGAUUAUAAUACAGUCUUUGUUUGACGGUACCUAACGAGGAAGCCACGGCUAACUACGUGCCAGCAGCCGCGGUAAUACGUAGGCGGCAAGCGUUGUCCGGAAUUAUUGGGCGUAAAGGGAGCGCAGGCGGGAAACUAAGCGGAUCUUAAAAGUGCGGGGCUCAACCCCGGGAUGGGGUCCGAACUGGUUGUCUUGAGUGCAGGAGAGGAAAGCGGAAUUCCCAGUGUAGCGGUGAAAUGCGUAGAUAUUGGGAAGAACACCAGUGGCGAAGGCGGCUUUCUGGACUGUAACUGACGCUGAGGCUCGAAAGCUAGGGUAGCGAACG